GUGCUGGCUAUGGUAACGCAUAUACUAAAAAUGUAAGUCUACAGAGAAGAUAAGCCCCCACACAAGUAUGACGCUCAAAUUUGUGAAGCAUUCCAUAUUUUG